ensembl:lncRNA
UGGCUCCACCCACUGAUGCUGAACUCAGCCAAUGAGAUGGUCUCUUUCUGCAGAACUCCAGCCAGCCUGAUGUUGAGGAGAAGGCUGUGCAGCAGAGAGGCUGCUUAGUCUUUUCAUUCUGCUGAACUUUGUUCAUCUGCUGUGUGACUUCAACACCUGAAACAUGUUCCUUUACCUGUUUGUACUUUUCUCUCACUGCAUAGCUUUGGGCUCCAUGAACAGCAUAAAGCAGGAACGUGCUGAAGAAGCUGUUGCAGAGGAAGGAAACAUCAACCUGACCUGUACAUAUGAUGGUCUUAUCAACAAUAUCCAGUGGUACCGACAAUACCAGAGAUCCAGACCAGAGUUCCUGCUCUCCAUCACAGAGGGAGGAUCAGUUCAUGAAGCUGUGUCGGGAUUCUCAGCUCACAUUGACAAAACAGAGAAACGUGUAGAUCUGGAGAUCUACACGUUUAUAUAGUUACUUCUUCAAAAAAGUAACUGAGUUAUGCAAACAAAGUUUUUUGCAGCUUUUUUUUUAAUGCAGCCAAGGCGUUUUUUUUAAAUAAACAUUUCAAACUAUUUACAGAACAAUCAGCUGUUCUGCAUCAAAUUUGAUGCCACACAAAUUAUCUGUGCCACUCCCAAAAAUAAUUUCUGUCCACUAUGAGAUAAAGGAGAACAACAGCCUGAUACCUGCAGGCCUGACAACAGGAGAUGUAUCACUGCUGUAACACCUGUAACACUCAGCAGUUGCCUCAUUGUUCUGACACACACAACAAAACUAUUGACUACACUACACACUAACUACACACUAACUACACAAGAUUUGUGCUAAACGUCUCAAAUCUCUCACAUCUCAAACACGCCGUCACUCCUAAAACUUCCCCCUUCCUAAACAACUAGAUGCGGCGUUGCCAUAUCAUUUUUUGAUUGGUCCACAUGGUACAUUUUUCCACCAAUAGGAUAGGCUGGGGGUUUUUUGGUGCUGUUUUUGCUCACAGGUGGAGUAUUUUUGAGCGUUUUCCUUAUAAAACGCCGUUUUUACCGUUUCUUCCCGCAGUAAAUAUAAACAACGAUAGUAUUCAGGAAGAAAACCAAACAUUGCAGAUAUUUUUAUCAUGACUCUGGUUUUACGUGGCCUAUCAACACAAUUUAAAAACUGGUAUAAAGUCCACACUUUUCCCGUCAGUUGUUCCGUCUGUCCUGCUCACAUCUCCAAUGGUUGUACACGUUGUCAUUAACGUGGCUUCACUGCACAUCAGCCACGCCGCUUUGCUAGCUAAAACACCGGUGUCGGCACAUAAGGACGCUGUCAUAGCCUGUCAGCGACGUUGAUUAGCUGCGUAGAUACGAAUGUGAAUCGCAUCAUUGGCUGGACUCUGGGAUAAGGUGGCAUCGUUCUGAUCCCAUACGGGAGCAGCCAGUCACUUACUGACUAACACUGCAAAACAGAAUUGUUAACAUAUUUAUUUUAAUUUCAAUUCAGCUUAGAUUUUUUUUGGUGCGCAACGCAGAUUUUCUGUGCGCAGAGACCGUGCCAGCAGUGCGCAAUUGCGCACGUGCGCAGCUUAGAGGGAACAAUGGGGAGGAGCCGAGCUGUUACUGAACUACAGAAGAGACAAGACUGAAAUAUUCAUCAGAGA